rnacentral:rRNA from 1 species
UACGGAGGGUGCAAGCGUUAAUCGGAAUUACGGGGCGUAAAGCGUGCGCAGGCGGUUUGUUAAGUCGGUUGUGAAAUCCCCGAGCUCAACUUGGGAAUUGCAAUGGAUACUGGCAGGCUGGAGUAUGGUAGAGGAAGGUGGAAUUCCCGGUGUAGCAGUGAAAUGCGUAGAGAUCGGGAGGAACACCAGUGGCGAAGGCGGCCUUCUGGACCAAUACUGACGCUCAUGCACGAAAGCGUGGGGAGCAAACAGG